UUAGGGAAUUUGGAAUUUUGAAUUUUGCAAGACAUUUUGGGAGACUUGAAAGUUUGAAGCAUGCAGGUUUCAGGGGGAUUUGGAACUUUAAACUUUGCAUGUUGUUUUGGGGAUUUUAAACUUUGAAAUCUGCAUGGCGUUUUGGGGGAUAUAGGACUUUGAAUUCAGCAAGGUGUUUUGGGUAAUUUGGAACUUUGAAACUUGCAAGGCAUUUGGGGGAUUUGGAAAUUUGAACUCUGCAGAGUGAUUUAGGAAAUUUGAAACAUUAAAGUCUGUAGGUAUUAUCAGGGGAUAAAGAACUUUGACAUCUAUAAGGUUUUUUGAUGAAUUCAGAAGUGAAUUUGGUGGCCUACUAAUUCAUGCCAUAAAGUUGUCACAAUACAGACGAAUAUUAUCUAUAUCAAGUCAAGUGUUUGUGAUAAACUGUAGCAAUAUAGGACUCAUUUCGAUGUUAAAAGCCUUAAAAAAGUUGUCCAUUAGUGAACUUUUGUUUUCAUUUAGGCCAUUUUAUAUGUUUUUUGCUAAUGAAUACUUCAUUAUGCAAAAGUUUGGCAUUUAAUAUGAAGUGUAUUUCAAUAUGGAGACCGAAGGUUCUAGGUUAGCCUCAGAUAUUUUAUCUUUCACUUCAUAAAUAAAUCAUAUAACGUGUAAAUAUUAAUGUAAUCAUCUUGACUUGAUUAUUGUUGUAAAUUUUGCAGUUUAUUCUGCUGGUCAAGGGUAUUAUGAUAUACAAUGCAAGUGAGAAGCUUUUGAAUGCAAAGAGAGAGGAUUGUUGGUCUUGCAAUUGUGUCAAUGAGGUUAUAUUUCUCAUGAAUUUUAGUAUCAUAAUACCCUUGACUAAAAGAGCAAACUGCAAAAUUUACAGCAACAAUCAAAGUCAAGAGUAUUACAUUAAUAUUUAGAGGCUAUAUGAUUUAUUUAUCAAGUGAAAGAUAAAGUAUCAGAAACUAACAUAGAACCUUACGUCUCCAUAUUGAUUUAUACUUCAUAUUUAAUCUCAUAGUUUUGCAUAAUUAAGUGUUUAUUAGCAAAAAAAUAUAAAGUCACCUAAAUGAAAACAAAAGUUCACUAAUGGACAAAAUUUUCUUUAAGUCAUCUAAAAUGGAAACCGGUCUGAUGUUGCUACACUUUAUCAUAAACAUUUGACUCGAGAUAGAUAAUAUUCAUCUUUAUUAUGACAAAUUUAUGGCAUGAAUGAGUAGACACCAAAUUCAGUUCCAAAUUCCUGAAUCGAUUGCCAAAAGAGAGUAUAAGUUUAAGAGCAUUUUUGACAUGUGUACCCUUUAUUAUAAUCAUGGAGUUUAAUAAAAGAACAUAUACUACCAACAUUUCUAUAGCUUCCUUUUUAACUUGUGUAGUUGUUGAUGUUUGUAUGGCUUUUUGAGGAGUUUGGAUCUUUGGAAUCUGCGAAUCUAAAUGGAGGAUUCGGGACUUUGAAAUUUGUAAGUCGUUAUAGGAAAUUUGGAAUUUUGAAUUUAACAAGACAUUUUGGGGAACUUUGAAGUUUGAAGCAUGCAGAUUUUCAGAGAGAUUUGAAACUUUAAACUUUGCAUGGUAUUUUGGGGAAUUUGAACUUUGAAAUCUGCAUGAUGUUUUAGCGGAUAUGAGACUUUGAAUUCUGCAAGGUGUUUUGGGUAAUUUGGAACUUUGAAACUUGAAUUGCUUUUCGGGGGAUUUGAAAAUUUGAACUUUGAAGAGUGUUUUAAGAAAUUUGAAACAUCAAAGUCUGUAGGUAUUAUUAGGAGAUAAAGAACUUUGAAAUGUAUAAGGUUUUUUGAGAAAUUCGAAACCGAAUUUGGUGGCCGACUCAUUCAUGCCAUAAAGUUGUAUAAGAAAUUUGAAACAUCAAAUUCUGUAGGUAUUAUUAGGAGAUAAAGAACUUUGAAAUGUAUAAGGUUUUUUGAGAAAUUCGAAACCGAAUUUGGUGGCCGACUCAUUCAUGCCAUAAAGUUGUUAUAAUAAAGACGAAUAUUAUCUAUCUCAAAUCAAGUGUUUAUGAUAAAGUAUAGCAAUAUAAGACUCGUUUCAAUGAUAAAAGUCUUAAAGAAAGUUUUGUCCAUUAGUGAACUUUUGUUGUCAUUUAGGCCGCUUUAUAUGUUUUUUUUUUGCUAAUGAACACUUCAUUAUGCAAAACUUUAGCCUUGAAUAUGAAGUAUAUUUCAAUAUGGAGACAGAAGGUUCUAGGUUAGUGUCUGAUAUUUUAUCUUUCAUUUCAUAAAUAAAUCAUACCUGUAAAUAUGUUUAGUAAAAAUGCCGAAUAACACCUCAAAUUUAUAAUUUAUUUGAUUCCAAAAUAGGAUAGAAGCGAUGAGACAUAUUCUAUUACAAUUAACAUUAAAAAAUUUACAAUAAAGAUUAUUUGUAAGAGUGUAAUACACAUGUAAUCCAGAGGGAGUCAUGAUGAGCAAUCUUAAGUGGUAGCAUCUUGAAACUAAUGUAAAGAAUACUUGGAAAUUAGGCCUUCUAAUUUCCAUUAUGAUGAAAAGCAACAAUGAAGAUAUAGAAAAUAAGAAAAUGUCAAAUUAAUACCCUAAGUGUAGCAACUAGUCAUGUGCAUAUGAGUGAGAGAAAAUGAGAGAGAGUGCCACACAUGACUUAAAAUUAUUAUGACUUUUCUCAAAGAACCAUAAUUGAGAAAAACAUUGUAGUCUAGUAACGGAUUUUGGUAUAAAGGGCUUUGCCUUUUUAGGGUUGUAUUGUAGUAUUUGCAUUUGCCAAAAUUUUCCACUGGGUAAAAGGUGUAAUGUAUAUCUUGUUCAUGUAGGUUGAUACCAAUGUACUCAACAUUUAUUUCAAUCUAUAGCUUAUUUGUUAUUUUAGGUUAAUACUAAGAAACUUAUCAUGAAAUCAUUAUAAUUUAUAUUCUUUACCUUUAUCUCUUUAUCAAGGACCUAGCUUUAAAUUUUUAUUCUAACUAAAACAAAGAGGUGGUAAGACUAAUACUUUGACCAUAUAAAAACACAUAACAUAAAUCACCAAAAUAUAAUAUCAAGACACUUAAAUGAUGAUAAAUAUAACCUCAUUGACACAAAUGCAAGACCAACAGUCCUCUCACUUUGCAUUCAAAAGUUUCUCACUUGCAUUGUAUCAUAAUACCAUUGACCAACAAAACAAACUGCAAAAUUUACAGCAACAAUCAAGUCAAGAGGAUUAUAUUAGUAUUUAAAGGUUAUAUGAUUUAUUUAUGAACUGAAACAUAAAAUAUCAGAGACUAACCUAGAACCUUUGAUCUCCAUAUUGAAGUAUACUUCAUAUUCAAGGCUAAAGUUUUGCAUAAUGAAGUGGUCAUUAGAAAAAAAAAACAUAUAAAGUGGCCUAAAUGACAAAAAAGUUCACUAAUGAACAAAACUUUCUUUAAGGCUUUUAACAUGGAAAUCGGUCCUAUAUUGCUACACUUUAUUAUAAACACUUGACUUGAGAUAGAUAAUAUUCGUCUUUACUAUGACAACUUUAUGGCAUGACCAAAUUUGGUUCCAAAUUUCUCAAAAAACCUUAAAGAUCUCAAAGUUCUUUAUCUCCUAAUAAUCCCUACAGACUUCAAUGUUUCAAAUCUCUCAAAACACCCUGCAGAGUUCAAAGUUCCAAAUCCCCCCAAAAGCCUAAAAGUUUAAAAGCUUCAAAUUACCCGAAACACCUUGCUGAAUUCAAAUUCACAUAUCCCCCAAAAGACCAUGUAGAUUUCAAAGUUAAAAUUCCCCAAAACACCAUGCAAAGUUUAAAGUUCCAAAUUCCGCUAAAUACUUGCAUGUUUCAAACUUCCAAGUUCCCCAAAAUUUCUUUGCUAAAUUCAAAAUUCCAAAUUCCCCAAAGUACCCUGUAGAGUUUAAAUUUCGGAAUCCUCUAUUUAGCCUCGUAGAGUCCAAAGAUCCAAACUCCCCAAAAGCCAUGUAGAUAUCAACUACAAAAGUUAAAAUGGGAAGACAUAGAAAGGUUGGUAGUAUAUAUACUUUUAUUAAACUACAUGAUUAUAGUAAAAGCUACAUAUCUCAAAAAUGCGCUUUAAAGUUAUAAUAUCUUUUGGACAAUCAUCCAGGUAAUGAAGCUCUACUUCUGGAAUCACACCAACCAAAAGUACAACUCAGUGAUCCUCACAGAUCAAGAAAAACACAAAGCUAAAAUUUAAGUUGAUCUUUAAUUCUAAUUGCGUACCUCUUAAAUCACACGAUUAAAAUUAAAGAUCAACUUGAAUUUUAGUUUUGGGUUUUUCUUGAUCUGUAAGGAUCAUUGAGUUGCACUUGUGCUUGGUGUAAUUCCAGAAGAAGACCUUGAUAACCUGAAUCGAUUUCCUAAAGGAGAUUAUCAGUUUAAGAGCAUUUUUGACAUAUGUAGCCUUUAUUAUAAUCAUGUAGUUUAAUGAAAGAACAUAUACUACCAACAUUUCUAUAUCGUCUAUUUUAACUUGUGUAGUUGAUGUUUGUAUGGCUUUUUGGGGAGUUUGGAUCUUUGGAAUCUGCAAGACUAAAUGGAGGAUUCGGAACUUUGAACUUUAAAGGGCAUUUUAGGGAAUUGGAAUUUUGAAUUUUGCAAGACAUUUUGGGAGACUUGAAGUUUGAAGCAUGCAGGUUUCAGGGGGAUUUGGAACUUUAAACUUUGCAUGUUGUUUUGGGGAUUUUAAACUUUGAAAUCUGCAUGGCGUUUUGGGGGAUAUAGGACUUUGAAUUCAGCAAGGUGUUUUGGGUAAUUUGGAACUUUGAAACUUGCAAGGCAUUUGGGGAUUUGGAAAUUUGAACUCUGUAGAGUGUUUUAGGAAAUUUGAAACAUUAAAGUAUGUAGGUAUUAUCAGGGGAUAAAGAACUUUGACAUCUAUAAGGUUUUUUGAUGAAUUCAGAAUUGAAUUUGGUGGCCUACUAAUUCAUGCCAUAAAGUUGUCACAAUAAAGACGGAUAUUAUCUUAUAUCAAGUCAUGUGUUUGUGAUAAACUGUAGUAAUAUAGGACUCAUUUCGAUGUUAAAAGCCUUAAAAAAGUUGUCCAUUAGUGAACUUUUGUUUUUAUUUAGGCCAUUUUAUAUGUUUUUUGCUAAUGAAUACUUCAUUAUGCAAAAGUUUGGCAUUUAAUAUGAAGUGUAUUUCAAUAUGGAGACCGAAGGUUCUAGGUUAGCCUCAGAUAUUUUAUCUUUCACUUCAUAAAUAAAUCAUAUAAGGUGUAAAUAUUAAUGUAAUCCUCUUGACUUGAUUAUUGUUGUAAAUUUUGCAGUUUAUUCUGCUGGUCAAGGGUAUUGUGAUAUACAAUGCAAGUGAGAAGCUUUUGAAUGCAAAGAGAGAGGAUUGUUGGUCUUGCAAUUGUGUCAAUGAGGUUAUAUUUCUCAUGCAUUUUAGUAUCAUAAUACCCUUGACUAAAAGAACAAACUGCAAAAUUUACAGCAACAAUCAAAGUCAAGAGUAUUACAUUAAUAUUUAGAGGCUAUAUGAUUUAUUUAUCAAGUGAAAGAUAAAAUAUCAGAAACUAACCUAGAACCUUACGUCUCCAUAUUGAUUUAUACUUCAUAUUUAAUCCCAUAGUUUUGCAUAAUUAAGUGUUUAUUAGCAAAAAAAUAUAAAGUGACCUAAAUGAAAACAAAAGUUCUCUAAUGGACAAAAUUUUCUUUAAGUCAUCUAACAUGGAAACCGGUCUUAUGUUGCUACACUUUAUCAUAAGCAUUUGACUCGAGAUAGAUAAUAUUCGUCUUUGUUAUGACAAAUUUAUGGCAUGAAUGAGUAGGCACCAAAUUCAGUUCCAAAUUCCUGAAAAAACCUUAUAUAUUUCAAAGUUCUUUAUCCCCUAAUAAUCUCUACAGACUUUAAUGUUUCAAAUUUCUCAAAACACCCUGUAGAGUUCAAAGUUCCAGAUCCAUCCAAAAGCCCUGCAAGUUUCAAAGUUCUAAAUUACCCAAAACACCUUGCUGAAUUCAAAGUCUCAUAUCCCCCAAAACGCCAUGCCGAUUCCAAAAUUCCAAAUUCCCCAAAACACCAUGUAGAGUUUAAAGUUCCAAAUCCCCCUGAAAACCAUGCAUACUUCAAAUUUCCACGUUCCCCAAAAUGUCUUUGCUAAAUUAAAAUUUCCAAAUUCCGCAAAAAACCCUGCAGAGUUCAAAGUUCCGAAUCCUCCACUUAGCCUCGCAGAUUCCAAAGAUCCAAACUCUCCAAAAGCCACGUAGUUAUCAACUACACAAGUUAAAAGGGAAGAUAUAGAAAGUUUGGUAGUAAAUGCACUUUUAUUAAACAACAUGAUUAUAGUAAAAGAUACAUAUGUCAAAAAUGCUCUUUAAAGUUAUAAUCUCUUUUGGACAAUCGAUCCAUGUAAUGACGGUUUACUUCUGGAAUUCCAUCAGCCACAAGUGUUACUCAAUGAUCCUCACAGAUCAAGAAAAACACAAAGCUAAAAUUCAAUUUGAUCUUUAAUUCUAAUCAUGUGAUUUUAGAGGUACACGGUUAGAAUUAAAAAUCAUCUUAAAUUUUAGUUUUGUGUUUUUCUUGAUCAGUGAGGAUCGUUGAGUUGCACUUGUGCUUGGUGUAAUUCCAGAAGUAGACCUUGAUGACCUGAAUCGAUUGCCAAAAGAGAGUAUAAGUUUAAGAGCAUUUUUUACAUAUGUACCCUUUAUUAUAAUCAUGUAGGUUAAUAAAAGAACAUAUACUACCAAGAUUUCUAUAGCUUCCUUUUUAACUUGUGUAGUUGUUGAUGUCUGUAUGGCUUUUUGAGGAGUUUGGAUCUUUGGAAUCUGCAAAUCUAAAUGGAGGAUUCGGGACUUUGAAAUUUGUAAGUCAUUAUAGGAAAUUUGGAAUUUUGAAUUUAGCAAGACAUUUUGGGGAACUUUGAAGUUUGAAGCAUGCAGAUUUUCAGAGAGAUUUGAAACUUUAAACUUUGCAUGGUGUUUUGGGGAAUUUGAACUUUGAAAUCUGAAUGAUGUUUUAGCGGAUAUGAGACUUUGAAUUCUGCAAGGUGUUUUGAGUAAUUUGGAACUUUGAAACUUGAAGUGCUUUUCAGGGGAUUUGGAAAUUUCAACUUUGAAGAGUGUUUUAAGAAAUUUGAAACAUCAAAGUCUUUAGGUAUUAUUAGAAGAUAAAGAACUUUGAAAUGUAUAAGGUUUUUUGAGAAAUUCGGAACCGAAUUUGGUGGCCGACUCAUUCAUGCCAUAAAGUUGUUAUAAUAAAGACGAAUAUUAUCUAUCUCAAAUCAAGUGUUUAUGAUAAAGUAUAGCAAUAUAAGACUCGUUUCAA
rnacentral:lncRNA from 1 species